UUUCCGUAGGUGAACCUGCGGAAGGAUCAUUAUCAUACAAAAUGUGAGGGGCAUGCGAGGGCUGUCGCUGACCCAAAAGUUGUGCACGCCCGAGUGUGUCCUCUUGCAUAAUAAUCCAUCUCACCCUUUGUGCAUCACCGCGUGGGCACCCUUCGGGAUCAUCUCGGAGGGCAGCUCGCGUUAUCACACAAACCCCCCUUUUAAAAGUGUAGAAUGACCACAUUUAUGCAAUCAAUACAACUUUCAACAACGGAUCUCUUGGCUCUC
rnacentral:misc_RNA from 1 species